CAUUUGUAGUCUGCACAGAUGCAGACCGAGCCGUUGGGCUUGAUGGGCAUGGUGAUCGGGGUUUCCCAGGGGGCGUUGGGCACCGGCUCAAGCACUCCUUGUUCCACAAGCCGGUCUAAUUCCUCGUCUAUGCGGGGUUUCAGGGCAAACGGGACUCGGCAGGCCUUCACUCAGCAGGAUCUAGUUGUAGGCCAACAGGGGGCCAGUAUAUCAUCCCAAUGCUCCGUCAAAAACCUCCGGAAAUGCUUUGCAUAUGGCGUCCACAUCCACAUAGGAGCUGGUGUGGUUCACCCCAGUGAUGGCUAGCCCCAGUGGCUCGAACCACACCAACCCCAGUAAGCUGGCCUAGGGCCCCUUGACCACAAUCAAGUCUAACCGCCACUUACACCCUCAAUCUUGUACAUUGAAGGUUCCCACCCCCAUCAUGGGGACCUUAAAAUUUUGGAAGUCCUGGAGGGUGAAUGGGGCCAGCCUGAGCUUGGGGCCACCAUUUGGACACAACUUCUUUAAUGCCCAUGCUGAGAUUAUGCACAGGGUUGAGCCUGUAUCGAGCUCCAUGCAGCCCAGGGCUCCCUAUAUCUGUAAAGGUAAAGGGACCCCUGACCAUUAGGUCCAGUCGUGGCCGACUCUGGGGUUGCGGCGCUCAUCUCACUUUAUUGGCCAAGGGAGCCGGCGUACAGCUUCUGGGUCAUGUGGCCAGCAUGACUAAGCCUCUUCUGGCGAACCAGAGCAGCGCACGGAAAUUCCCCAUCGCAGGGAUUCAAACCGCCGACCUUCUGAUUGGCAAGUCCUAGGCUCUGUGGUUUAACCCACAUUGCCACCCGCGUCCCUCCUAUAUCUGUACCUCAAUGUUAUUUUUUUCCACGUUGGAAUGGGGCAGCUGCUAUACCUGACAGUCCGUGAUCUCUGUCAAGUUGCUCUGUCAGACCGCGGGGCCUGGGACUCUUAGGUCGGCUAUCAGAUGUGAGGCGUCGGGCAGGCCAGGCACACCUGGGCGAUGUGUCCCGCUUUUCUGCAUUGUCGGCAUUCUGCACUGCAGAAACAGCAAGUCCUCUGCUCGUGGUUCUCCCCACAGGUCGCGCAGUUCCCCUCUUCUGGCCGAGGCAGUUGUGGUGGGCGUGCGGCUUGUGGAAGCUGCUGCACUCAGUGCACGUCCUCCCUGUCGGAUUAUGAGUCGGUGAGGUCUUCAUGGUGGGCCCUGGGUUGGGACGAUGAGUUUGGCUGGAAUCCUUGCUCAGACCUCUCGGCGGCUUCGGUUGCCAGGGCCUCCUCUAGGGCGACCUGGAACGUCAGGUCCUUCUUGGCAUGGAAGAGCAACUUCUCGUCCCUCAGGCCACCCGUGAGCCAGUCGCGGAGCAUGUUCUCCAGCUCUGUGAAGUUGCAGAGCCUGGCAGCCUGGCAGAGGGAGGUCACAUACCUGGUUAUGGUUUCUCCAGGGGCCUGCUGCUUUGCGUAGAAGGCGUUGUGACACACUACCACCGAGGCUUGCUGCGAGAAGUGCCCCUUCAGCUGCUCCAUUAACGGUCGUGAUAUUUUCAGGUGUGAGGAGGGCCCGGGCGACCUCGAACGUUUCCUCUCCGCAGACGCUGAAGAAUGUUGCCCUCUUCUUGGCUGCUUCGGUGACGUCCUUUGCCUCCAGGAGGAACUGGAAGCGGGUGGCAUAUCCUUCCCAGUCUCCUGAUGCUGGGCUGAACGGCAGGAAGCUGUUGUCUGUUGCCAUUCUGGGUCCUUGGGUUCUGGAGCUGUAGCCUGGAUGUGCGGUGCGAUGCAGCAGUGUGGCCAGUGGUGGGCUGUGGUGCGGUGCGCGGCAGACAGCUCAGCGGGAUCCCACCUUCAUCGCCAGUGAAAUAUACUCGGAGUUGCAUAGUGAUUUCAUGUUCUUUAUUGCAGCUCGUAAAACAGUGAAGGAAUCCAUCCUCCCCCCAAAAAACCUCUGACUUUAUAUACAUUAUUUACACAAUGGGUCCCAUCUGGUUGACUGAUUCUGCUUCCUCUGGAGCCGGAUUGGGCUGCUCCUGCAGGCCAAUCAGGUUCUUGCAUUCUAGGAUCCAAACAUGAGACUUAAAAUGUUUCAUCGCAACACAUCAGAUGACUUAGGGAUGUUUCUUCAUGUCAUUUAAAGUUUGCAGUGCCCAUCAAUCUUCCUUUAAAGCACACUGGCUGGUGGUGGUAGCCUCUAUCAUUGGACUACUGCAAUGCGCUCUCUGUGUGGCUGCCCUUGAGGAUGGUCCAGAAGUUGUAGCUGGUGCAAAAUAAUAAUAAUAAUAACUUAUUUCUUAUAUCCGCCCAUCUGACUGGGUUGCCCCAGCCAUUCUGGGGGGUUUCCAGCACAUAGAAAAACAUAAUAAUCCCUAAAAUUAGGGAUUAAAGGGACAGAAAUUCCAAAAAAGAUGAUUAAAUUGUCUAGGCACAAAAGUGGAAGGAAGAAGAAGUUCCCACCAAAGAAGAAUGGAGGAUAAGUAAAGUUGUUUCAUUACGUUUUGAUAUAGGUUGGAAGCUGCCUAGAGUGGCUUGAACAACCGUCAGAUAGGCAGGGUACUAAUAAUAAAAUGGUGGUGGUUGUUGUUGACUGUCAGGUCUUUGACCGCAAUAAAGAUUGAUUGGUUGGUGGCAGUGGUGGUUGCCUAUGCUGAACUGGCAAAGUUAACAGCCAAAACAGGAGAACCAAAUGAUUAUUGCUUUGUGGAAGGAUAGAAGCCCUUUUCAGACUAUUUAAGGAAAUAUUGCUGUUUGAUUAACUCACAGGCAGGAUUAGAAAUGAGAGCAACAGAAGAAAUUAGAGAUUACAGUAUCAAGAAGGAAGUUCGCAGCAGAGGGGAAGAAAUUAAAUCACUGUGGGAAAUGGGGUGG
rnacentral:lncRNA from 1 species